rnacentral:rRNA from 1 species
GUGCCAGCCGCCGCGGUAAUACCGGCAGCCCAAGUGAUGGCCGAUCUUAUUGGGCCUAAAGCGUCCGUAGCUGGGACGCAAGUCCGUCGGGAAAUGCACUCGCCCAACGAGUGGGCGUCCGACGGAAACUGCAUAGCUUGGGACCGGAAGGCCCGAAGGGUACGUGCGGGGUAGGAGUGAAAUCCCAUAAUCCCGCACGGACCACCGAUGGCGAAAGCACUUCGAGAAAACGGAUCCGACAGUGAGGGACGAAAGCCAGGGUCUCCAACCGGAUUAGAUACCCUUGUAGUCC